GAACCACCCAGGUGUUUGCCCCCCUGAGACUGCACUAUAACACUGUCACGAAGGCCAGCAGUGCGCAGCAGCAGCCAGCAUGUAGUUUGAUGAUGAAGAGGAGGAUGAAGAGGUCACAGAAACGAAAGCUGGCCCAGAAAAUGACCUGCAGGAGGAGGAAGAAAGCAAGGACACAAAGGAAGGCCACCCGCGGGAGCUGACGGAGGAAGAGAAACAGCAGGUUUUGCACUCGGAGGAGUUCCUCAUCUUCUUCGACCGCAGUAUUCGUGUGAUAGAAAGAGCUUUAGCUGAGGACUCCAACAUCUUCUUCGACUACAGCGGACGUGACCUGGAGGAU